AGUAAGGAAUAUUCCACAAUGAGCGAAAGCUUGAUGGAGCGACACAGCGUGCAGGAUGAAGUCUUUAGGUAUGUAAACUGCUGUUGUAAGGGAAGAAAAAAUUAGGUAGGGAAUGAUCUAAUCUUGACGGUACCUUACUAGAAAGCGACGGCAAACUAUGUGCCAGCAGCCGCGGUAAUACAUAGGUCGCAAGCGUUAUCCGGAAUUAUUGGGCGUAAAGCGUUCGUAGGUUUUUUGUUAAGUUUAAGGUUAAAUGCUAAAGCUCAACUUUAGUCCGCUUUAGAUACUGGCAAAAUAGAAUUAUGAAGAGGUUAGCGGAAUUCCUAGUGGAGUGGUGGAAUACGUAGAUAUUAGGAAGAACACCAAUAGGCGAAGGCAGCUAACUGGUCAUAUAUUGACACUGAGGGACGAAAGCGUGGGGAGCAAACAGGAUUAGAUACCCUGGUAGUCCACGCCGUAAACGAUGAUCAUUAGUUGGUGGCAGAAGUCACUAGCGCAGCUAACGCGUUAAAUGAUCCGCCUGAGUAGUAUGCUCGCAAGAGUGAAA
rnacentral:rRNA from 2 species